UACGGAGGAUGCGAGCGUUAUCCGGAUUUAUUGGGUUUAAAGGGUGCGUAGGCGGACGCUUAAGUCAGCGGUAAAAUUGCGGGGCUCAACCUCGUCGAGCCGUUGAAACUGGGUGCCUUGAGUGGGCGAGAAGUACGCGGAAUGCGUGGUGUAGCGGUGAAAUGCAUAGAUAUCACGCAGAACUCCGAUUGCGAAGGCAGCGUACCGGCGCCCUACUGACGCUGAAGCACGAAGGCGUGGGUGUCGAACAGG
rnacentral:rRNA from 1 species